rnacentral:misc_RNA from 1 species
GAUGAAGAACGUAGCGAAAUGCGAUAAGUAAUGUGAAUUGCAGAAUUCAGUGAAUCAUCGAAUCUUUGAACGCACAUUGCGCCCCCUGGUAUUCCGGGGGGCAUGCCUGUCCGAGCGUCAUUACAAUCCUCAAGCUCAGCUUGGUGUUGGGCCCCGCCGCCCCGGCGGGCCCUAAAGUCAGUGGCGGUGCCGUCCGGCUCCGAGCGUAGUAAUUCUUCUCGCUCUGGAGGUCCGGUCGUGUGCUCGCCAGCAACCCCCAAUUUUUUUCAGGUUGACCUCGGAUCAGGUAGGGAUACCCGCUGAACUUAAGCAUAUCAAUAAGCGGAGGA